UGGGGAAUUUUGGACAAUGGGGGAAACCCUGAUCCAGCCAUCCCGCGUGUGCGAUGAAGGCCUUCGGGUUGUAAAGCACUUUUGGCAGGAAAGAAACGUCAUGGGUUAAUACCCCGUGAUACUGACGGUACCUGCAGAAUAAGCACCGGCUAACUACGUGCCAGCAGCCGCGGUAAUACGUAGGGUGCAAGCGUUAAUCGGAAUUACUGGGCGUAAAGCGUGCGCAGGCGGUUCGGAAAGAAAGAUGUGAAAUCCCAGAGCUCAACUUUGGAACUGCAUUUUUAACUACCGGGCUAGAGUGUGUCAGAGGGAGGUGGAAUUCCGCGUGUAGCAGUGAAAUGCGUAGAUAUGCGGAGGAACACCGAUGGCGAAGGCAGCCUCCUGGGAUAACACUGACGCUCAUGCACGAAAGCGUGGGGAGCAAACAGG
rnacentral:rRNA from 1 species